rnacentral:rRNA from 1 species
GACGAACGCUGGCGGCGUGCCUAAUACAUGCAAGUAGAACGCACAGUUUAUACCGUAGCUUGCUACACCAUAGACUGUGAGUUGCGAACGUGUGAGUAACGCGUAGGUAACCUGCCUGGUAGCGGGGGAUAACUAUUGGAAACGAUAGCUAAUACCGCAUAAUAUUAAUUAUUGCAUGAUAAUUAAUUGAAAGGUGCAAUUGCACCACUACCAGAUGGUCCUGCGUUGUAUUAGCUAGUAGGUGAGGUAACGGCUCACCUAGGCGACGAUACAUAGCCGACCUGAGAGGGUGAUCGGCCACACUGGGACUGAGACACGGCCCAGACUCCUACGGGAGGCAGCAGUAGGGAAUCUUCGGCAAUGGACGAAAGUCUGACCGAGCAACGCCGCGGGAGGGAAGAAGGGUUUCGGAUCGUAAAGCUCUGUUGUAAGAGAAGAACGGGUGUGAGAGUGGAAAGUUCACACUGUGACGGUAUCUUACCAGAAAGGGACGGCUAACUACGUG